rnacentral:rRNA from 1 species
AAUAUUGGACAAUGGGGGGAACCCUGAUCCAGCCAUGCCGCGUGUGUGAAGAAGGUAUUCGGAUUGUAAAGCACUUUAAGUUGGGAGGAAGUGUUGUAGGCUAAUACAUUGCACUUUUGACGUUACCAACAGAAUAAGCAACGGCCAACUUCGUGCCUGCAGCCGCGGUAAUACGAAGGGGGCAAGCGGUAAUCGGAAUUACAGGGCGUAAAGCGCUCGUAGGUGGUACGUGGAGUUGGAAGUGAAAGCCCCGGGCUUAACCUGGGAAUUGCUUUCAAAACUGACGAGCUAGAGUACGGUAGAGGGUAGUGGAAUUUCCUGUGUAGCGGUGAAAUGCGUAGGUAUAGGAAGGAACAUCAGUGGCGAAGGCGACUACCUGGACUGAUACUGACACUGAGGUGCGAAAGCGUGGGGAGCAAACAGG